rnacentral:rRNA from 1 species
AUUGAACGCUGGCGGCAGGCCUAACACAUGCAAGUCGAACGAGUGGCGGACGGGUGAGUAAUGUCUGGGAAACUGCCUGAUAGAGGGGGCUAACUACUGGAAACGGUAGCUCAUACCGCAUACCAUCGGAUGUGCCCAUAUGGGAUUAGCUAGUAGGUGGGGUAAAGGCUCACCUAGGCGACGAUCCCUAGCUGGUCUGAGAGGAUGACCAGCCACACUGGAACUGAGACACGGUCCAGACUCCUACGGGAGGCAGCAGUGGGGAAUAUUGCACAAUGGGCGCAAGCCUGAUGCAGCCAUGCCGCGUGUAUGAAGAAGGCCUUCGGGUUGUAAAGUACUUUCAGCGGGGAGGCGUUACCCGCAGAAGAAGCACCGGCUAACUCCGUGCCAGCAGCCGCGGUAAUUC